GGGAUUAGAUACCCCACUAUGCUUAGCCUUAAACCUAGAUGUUAAACCUACAAACAACAUCCGCCAGGGUACUACGAGCGCUAGCUUAAAACCCAAAGGACUUGACGGUGUCUCAGACCCACCUAGAGGAGCCUGUUCUAGAACCGAUAACCCCCGUUAAACCUCACCACCCCUUGUUUAAUCCGCCUAUAUACCGCCGUCGCAAGCUUACCCUGUGAAGGUCUCAUAGUAAGCAAAAUGGGCAACCCCCCCAGAACGUCAGGUCGAGGUGUAGCUUACGAGGUGGGAAGAAAUGGGCUACAUUUUCUGUAUCAGAACAACACGAACAGCACCAUGAAAUUGAUGCUUAAAGGUGGAUUUAGUAGUAAAAAAUAAAUAGAGAGUCUUUUUGAACCAGGCUCUGAGACGCGCACACACCGCCC
rnacentral:rRNA from 1 species